rnacentral:rRNA from 1 species
GCGAAUGCUGACAUGAGUAACGAUAAUGGGUGUGAAAAACACCCACGCCGAAAGACCAAGGUUUCCUGCGCAACGUUAAUCGACGCAGGGUUAGUCGGUCCCUAAGGCGAGGCUGAAAAGCGUAGUCGAUGGAAAACAGGUUAAUAUUCCUGUACUUCUGGUUAUUGCGAUGGAGGGACGGAGAAGGCUAGGCCAGCUUGGCGUUGGUUGUCCAAGUUUAAGGUGGUAGGCUGGAAUCUUAGGUAAAUCCGGGAUUCUAAGGCCGAGAGCUGAUGACGAGUUAUCUUUUAGAUGACGAAGUGGUUGAUGCCAUGCUUCCAAGAAAAGCUUCUAAGCUUCAGGUAACCAGGAACCGUACCCCAAACCGACACAGGUUGUCAGGUAGAGAAUACCAAGG